AUGCGUGCCUUCUCCCUCUCCCUCCUAUUCCUAGGCGCGGCCUCCCUCGUCGACGCCACCGGCGGCAAUGUCAAGGCGGCAUGCGCCGACACGCCGUACCCGGAGUACUGUGUCACCGUCCUGUCAGCAUGCCCGAAGAGUAAAUCUGCGGACGCUUUCGCGCUGGCCGAGAUUGCGGUCCACGCUGCAGCCAAUACCAGCACCAAGGCGGCCACCCUCGCGCGCUCCGAGGAAAAGGGCAUCAAGGAUGGCAUGUGGUGGUGCAUGGACCAUUGCGCGGCAGACAUCGAGGACGCUGCCGCGCGCCUUAGUCACCACAACGUGAGGCUCGCCGAUGUGCGGAGCUUCAUUGCGAGGACCGAGAGCGACUCGGUCAUGUGGAACUGCGAUGAGUGCCGGCAGGAAGGGGCGUCCAAGAAGAAUGACCUGCUCUCGAAAGACGGUGACCUGGAGAAGAUCAUGGGCGUCAUGUCUGCACUCGUCAAGCGUGUACGCGUCACCAAGGGCACCACUGCACCGCCCGUGAAGGCGCCGACACCGUCCGCGUAUUAG
rnacentral:rRNA from 1 species